GCGCCUUUAGCUCAGUUGGUCAGAGCCCAGGUCUUAUGAUCGCCGAUCGAGCGAUCUACAAGAUUUUGCACUCGUCUCAAACAACCGGCGAUGGAUAGCCUGAGGUCACGGGUUCGAGCCCCGUAAGGCGUU